GUAAACGAUGUAUACUCGCGGUUUGCGAUACAGUGUAAGCCGCCAAGCGAAAGCAUUAAGUAUACCACCUGGGGAGUACGCCGGCAACGGUGAAACUCAAAGGAAUUGACGGGGGCCCGCACAAGCGGAGGAACAUGUGGUUUAAUUCGAUGAUACGCGAGGAACCUUACCCGGGCUUGAACUAAGAGUGACAGAUCUAGAGAUAGAUUCUUCUUCGGACACUCUUGGAGGUGCUGCAUGGCUGUCGUAG
rnacentral:rRNA from 1 species